UACGAGGGGGGCGAGCGUUGUUCGGAAUUAUUGGGCGUAAAGGGUGCGUAGGCGGUUUGGUGAGUCUGAUGUGAAAUCUAUGGGCUCAACUCAUAGUCUGCAUCGGAAACUGCCGGGCUUGAGUAUGGGAGAGGUGAGUGGAAUUCCUGGUGUAGCGGUGAAAUGCGUAGAUAUCAGGAGGAACACCUGUGGCGAAAGCGGCUCACUGGACCAUAACUGACGCUGAUGCACGAAAGCUAGGGGAGCAAACAGG
rnacentral:rRNA from 1 species